CAUCAUUGUAAUUUCAUAUAAAGCUUGUACAAAUCAUUCUUAUAGUAAUAUGAGAAUUACAAUUCCUUUAUGGUAUCAUCGCCAUUCAAUCCUCUCUUCCGCAUUCUUUCCUCUGCUAUUUUCUCUUUUCUCAAACCCUAAUUUUUCUUCUUCCUCUUUGCUUCCAUGGCGGCUUCUGAUGCUUCUUCAGGUCAAACGCCACCGCCGGCUGGUGGUCCUGUUCUUUCUUCUGCUGCAUCGUCCGCAACUCCAGCUUUCACUACUGUUACUGUUCAGAAUAUUUCCGGCAUGAUUCCAAUCAAACUUCAGGCAAACAACUAUUUGCUCUGGAAGAAUCUUUUUCUCCCAAUUCUUCGCAAAUUCAAGAUGCUCGGUCUCGUCACUGGUGAUGAGCCUUCUCCUCCUCGCUCAAUUCUUGAUUCUACUAGUUCCACCAUUGAGAAUCCAGCCUUUGAUCUUUGGUAUGAUAAAGAUCAAAGCCUGAUGAUUUGGAUUAUCUCCACGUUAUCUUCUGAUCUUCUCUCUCAUACUGUGGGCAUUGAGAGCUCGCGUGCUCUUUGGGAACUUCUUGAGAAACGCUUCGCCGGAGUUUCUCGUGCUAGCAUUCAUCAAUUGCGCUCGCGUCUUCAAACCCUCACCAAAGGUGAUCUGUCUAUGGUCACAUACUUGCAGCAGAUGAAGGAAAUUGCUGCUGGCUUGGGAGCGGCUGGCCAACCUCUUACUGAUUCUGAUCUUGUUGCUUACAUCCUGGCUGGUCUUCCUGAGGAGUAUGAUUCUUUUGUGACCUCUAUUGAAACUCGAAGUGACCUAGUGUCUUCUGAUGAGCUUCAUGGUUUCCUGCUUGGUCGUGAAGCUGCGAUCCUACAUCGCAAGACUCGUUCUUCUCUGCCAGUCACUCAUGAACCGUUUCAUGCUUUUGCUGCUUUUCCAAACCACAGAGGUCGUGGAUCUCAUGUACAUUCUAAGCACAGAGGUCCUGGUCAAGGCCAAUCCUCCUUUGGUCAACCUCAAUUUCAGGCCCAAUUUCAGUCUCGUCCUAUGAAUUCGGGCUCUCGUGGAUUGCUUCCAACACCUCAUGUUUCUUGGCAGCAAAAUUCUACUUUUGGAUCCUCCUCUCGUGCACCGCCUUCGUUUUCUCAUGGCAGCUCUUCAUCCAGCUCACAUUCUUCUCCAUUUUCUUCUGAUGCUUCCCACUCCUCUCAUGGAGUUAUCGUUUGUCAAUUCUGUAACAAGCGUGGACAUGGCGCUGCAACUUGCAGAAAGCUAGGUCGUCUUCUCAAUCCAACUUCCUCUUCACAGUUCUCGACUCAGUACUCAGGCUAUUAUGUCAAUCCACAGUCCCAACCUCUUUCUACCUCUUGGAUCAUGGACACUGGGGCUACCGCUCAUGUUACUGCUGAUAACAGUCAUCUUCAAAAUUCUGUUCCUUACUCGGGUUCUGAUUCUUUGCAAGUUGGAGAUGGUAACUGCUUACCUAUAUCGCAUAUUGGUUCUUCUAUUAUUACCACUCCUUCUGCUGAUUUUUCUCUUCGGAAUAUUUUACAUGUUCCUCAUAUAACUCAGAAUUUACUAUCGGUUCAGAAGUUCUUAAAGGAUAAUCAAUGUUCUCUAACUCUCUAUCCUUUUGAAUUUGACAUUAAGGAUCUAGUUACACAGAAGAUGCUUUACCACAGUCCACUUAAGGAGGGUAUGUACAAGUUGACUACUGGUGUUGACUCUGUUGCUGCUAAGACCAGUUGCUCUGCUUCUUCCUUUAUGGUAAAUAAAUGUGAUUUGCUCGCUUGGCAUCAGAGAUUAGGUCAUCCUCAUGCUUCUGUUUUUAGGCAAGUCAUUAGUCAUAAUAACCUCCCUUUCUCUGGUUCCUUUGCUACAAAUGUACUAUGUUUUGCUUGUAGGCUAGGAAAGGCAUCCAAACUUCCAUUUCAUGGUUCAGGCUCUAAGACUUCCAAGCCUUUGGAAUUGUUACAUAGUGAUGUCUGGGGUCCUAGUCCUGUACAUUCUGUUUCGGGAAAUAAAUACUAUGUUCUUUUCUUGGAUGAUUUUACCAAGUAUGCUUGGAUUUACCCCAUGAAGUACAAAUCCGAUGUUUUUGGUAUUUUCAAGACUUUU
rnacentral:lncRNA from 1 species